rnacentral:rRNA from 1 species
UACGUAGGGGGCUAGCGUUGUCCGGAUUUAUUGGGCGUAAAGAGCGUGUAGGCGGCCAGGUAGGUCUGCUGUGAAAACUCGAGGCUCAACCUCGAGACGUCGGCGGAAACCAUCUGGCUAGAGUCCGGAAGAGGAGAGUGGAAUUCCUGGUGUAGCGGUGAAAUGCGCAGAUAUCAAGAGGAACACCUGCGGCGAAGGCGGGUUGCUGGGCCGACACUGACGCUGAAGUGCGAAAGCCAGGGGAGCGAACGGG